UGGGGAAUAUUGGGCAAUGGGCGCAAGCCUGACCCAGCCAUGCCGCGUGAGUGAUGAAGGCCUUCGGGUCGUAAAGCUCUGUGGGGAGGGAAGAACAAGGAGCUGGCUAAUAUCCAGUUCCCCUGACGGUACCUCCUUAGCAAGCACCGGCUAACUCCGUGCCAGCAGCCGCGGUAAUACGGAGGGUGCAAACGUUGCUCGGAAUCAUUGGGCGUAAAGCGCACGUAGGUGGCUCUUUAAGUCGGGCGUGAAAGCCCCGGGCUUAACCCGGGAAGUGCGCUCGAAACUGGGGAGCUUGAAUAUGGAAGAGGGUCGCGGAAUUCCCGGUGUAGAGGUGAAAUUCGUAGAUAUCGGGAGGAACACCAGUGGCGAAGGCGGCGACCUGGGCCAAUAUUGACGC
rnacentral:rRNA from 1 species